CAACCACCAGAAAGGGAGAUGAAGAGAAGUUAAUUCCUGCUGCCAUCUGCCAAGUAUCGAGAGUUCCUUCCCCAUUGAAUUCAAUAAUCACAGCAGCCAUCCAAACACCAAACUUCACAGGUGAAGCGCGAGAGUAAUAAUAGCCAGUCAAGGAGCUACUUUACCAAAGCAAAAGUUGCUAUCAGGUUGAGCUGAUGUGAUGAUGGUGCUGCAAUGAGCGGAGUCUUCAGGGUUGUUAAUAAAUAGUUAACCUGUCUAGAAUAUGUCUUCAUACAUAUGUCUAGCUACUUUCCGCUGCAAGAUGUUGUUGAUGUUAUAGUAUGUUAUGUCAUACUUUGAGUUUUAAAAGAAUGGUUUCAUAUGAUGUAUAACUUGAUUAAUGAUAUUAAUUAAGUUUUAUGCUGUCUUUCAUAGACUGUUUUCAAUUGAGUAUUAAUGAAUAAAAAUGACGAGUUUUAUUAAGAUGAGUAAGUUUUACGGCUAUAAAUGACGCCCCU